UACGGGGGGGGCAAGCGUUGUUCGGAAUUACUGGGCGUAAAGGGCUCGUAGGUGGCCAACUAAGUCAGACGUGAAAUCCCUCGGCUUAACCGGGGAACUGCGUCUGAUACUGGAUGGCUUGAGUUUGGGAGAGGGACGCGGAAUUCCAGGUGUAGCGGUGAAAUGCGUAGAUAUCUGGAGGAACACCAAUGGCGAAGGCAGCACUCUGGGACGUGACUGACGCUGAGACGCGAAAGCGUGGGGAGCAAACAGG
rnacentral:rRNA from 1 species